UACACGUGAUGUGAAUCAUCGAAUCUUUGAACGCACUUUGCACCUCGUGGCUCCUGUCACGAGGUAUACUUGUUUGAGUAUCCGUAACCAUCUCACCACUCCCUCGGGGCGGUGGACCUUGAGAUUCGAUGAGCAGCUGCGAGUCGUCUCUUGAAAAAUAUGGCCCGUCUGUGGAAGGUCUCCGCUGGGACCUGACCGACCAUUUGGAUAACGUCCUACAAUUGUCGUGUCAGUGUCACGUUAAGCGUUGAUUAACCUUGGCCACCCGGAUCAAACAGACGCCACUAACCCUGGUGCCUGUGCGAUCAAUUAUUGUUUACAACUGGAUCUCAAAUCAAGUAAGGAUACCCGCUGAACUUAGGCAUAUCAAUAAGCGGAGG
rnacentral:rRNA from 1 species